UCCCUGGUAGUCUAGUUGUUAAGACUCUGCACUUUGAAUGCAAGGGAUGUUAGUUCAAUCCCUAGUCUGGAA
rnacentral:tRNA from 1 species